rnacentral:rRNA from 1 species
UGAACUGGAGCUUGCUCCAGGGAUUAGUGGCGAACGGGUGAGUAACACGUGAGUAACCUGCCCUUGACUCUGGGAUAAGCGCUAGAAAUGGCGUCUAAUACCGGAUACGAGCUUCAGCCGCAUGGCUAGGAGUUGGAAAGAAUUUUGGUCAAGGAUGGACUCGCGGCCUAUCAGCUAGUUGGUGAGGUAAUGGCUCACCAAGGCGACGACGGGUAGCCGGCCUGAGAGGGUGACCGGCCACACUGGGACUGAGACACGGCCCAGACUCCUACGGGAGGCAGCAGUGGGGAAUAUUGCACAAUGGGCGAAAGCCUGAUGCAGCAACGCCGCGUGAGGGAUGACGGCCUUCGGGUUGUAAACCUCUUUUAGUAGGGAAGAAGCGAAAGUGACGGUACCUGCAGAAAAAGCACCGGCUAACUACGUGCCAGCAGCCGCGGUAAUACGUAGGGUGCAAGCGUUGUCCGGAAUUAUUGGGCGUAAAGAGCUCGUAGGCGGUUUGUCGCGUCUGCUGUGAAAUCUGGGGGCUCAACCCCCAGCCUGCAGUGGGUACGGGCAGACUAGAGUGCGGUAGGGGAGAUUGGAAUUCCUGGUGUAGCGGUGGAAUGCGCAGAUAUCAGGAGGAA